rnacentral:rRNA from 1 species
GACGAACGCUGGCGGCGUGCUUAACACAUGCAAGUCGAACGGAAAGGCCCUGCUUUGGUGGGGUGCUCGAGGGGCGAACGGGUGAGUAACACGUGAGUAACCUGCCCUUGACUUUGGGAUAACUUCAGGAAACUGGGGCUAAUAGCGGAAAGGAGCUCCUGCUGCAUGGUGGGGGUUGGAAAGUUUCGGCGGUUGGGGAUGGACUCGCCGCUCAUCAGCUUGUUGGUGGGGUAGUGGCUUACCAAGGCUUUGAAGGGUAGCCGGCCUGAGAGGGUGACCGGCCACAUUGGGACUGAGCUACGGCACAGCCUACUACGCGAGGCAGCAGUGGGGAAUAUUGCACAAUGGGCGGAAGCCUGAUGCAGCACCGCAGCGUGCGGGAUGACGGCCUUCGGGUUGUAAUCCGCUUUCCCCUGUCACGAAGCGUGAGUGACGGUAAUGGGUAAAGAAGCACCGGCUAACUCCGUG